UGGAAUUAUUGUGGAUGAUGUAGUGGAUGUAAUGACUUCAAACAGUUCAUAUAAAAAUGAAAUUAUUUGUAAUAAAGUAUGGGAGGUAGAGAUUGCAAACAAUUAAUGUCACAUUGCUCUGAAUGAUGUAGUGGAUCUAAUCUAAUGACUUCAAGCUGUCCAUACCAACAUGAAAUCAUUUAGAAUGAUGUAGGGAUAUAUAAACUUCAGGCAGUUCAUAUGAAUUAGAAUUUAUAUAGAAUAAUUAGGGAUUGAAAAAAAACUCACAGUCCAUGUCAGUGAGACAUAAUAAUAUAUGGGAUGUAAAAUCUUCAAACAGUUGAUGUCAACAUGAAAUUACUUAGAAUGAUGUAACUAUUUCUAGCAGUUAACAUGACAAUGAAAUUAUGUAAUGUACGGUAUGUAAAUGUUUUUAGCAGUCCAUAUCAACAUGAAAUUACUUAGAAUGAUGUAAUGGAUGUAACUAUUUCUAGCAGUCCAUAUCAACAUGAAAUUACUUAGAAUGAUGUAAUGGAUGUAACUAUUUCUAGCAGUUAACAUGACAAUGAAAUUAUGUAAUGUAAGGUAUAUAAAUAUUUCUAGCAGUCCAUAUCAACAUGAAAUUAUUUAGAAUGAUGUAUGGGAUGUAAUUACUUCUAGCAGUCCAUAUCAACAUGAAAUUAUUUAGAAUAAGGGAUGUAAAUACUUCUAGCAGUCCACAUUAACAUGAAAUUUUGUAGAUUAAUGUAAGGGAUGUAAAUACUUCUAGCAGUCCAUAUCAACAUGAAAUUUUGUAGAUUAAUGUAAGGGAUGUAAAUACUUCUAGCAGUCCAUAUCAACAUGAAAUUUUGUAGAUUAAUGUAAGGGAUGUAAAUACUUCUAGCAGUCCAUAUCAACAUGAAAUUGUAUAGAAUAAUUUCAGGUAUUUCUAAGAAUUGGUAUUGAACUGGUUAGUACAGUUCAUGAUAACAGAACAUUUCUGGUGGAUGGUGUUGGUAUUAAAUCUUUUAGACUUAUCCAUGAAAUGUAUGAGGUGUUUUAGUUAGUUAUAGCAUGGAAUUAGUGGUAAUCUUAACAUUAGCAUAGCAGUGGUCGAAAUGCUAACAUUAACAUAGCAAUGAUCAAAAUGUUAACAUUAGCAUAAUAUUAGUCGAAAUGUUAAUAUUAGCAUUAGAAUGGUCAAGAUGUUUAGCAUAAUAAUAAUGGCCAAAAUAUUUACAUUAACAUAAUAUUGGUCAAAAUGUUAACAUUAACAUAAUAUUGGUCGAAAUGUUAACAUUAACAUAAUAUUGGUCGAAAUGUUUACAUCAGGAUAACAAUGGUCAAAAUGUUGAUGUUUACAUAAAACUGGUCUGAAUGUUGUUAAAAUAGUUAAAAUGUCGCUGUUAUCAGGGAAUUAAGGGGGGAAAAUAUUAUUAGUUAUAUUGUGGAAUAUUAAUGUUAGCGUAGAAGUUGUAAGCAUGUUGAUGAUGUCGUGGAAGUGCUGAAGACACGAGAGGUUCAAAUGUUGACGUUAGGGCAUUGGUGACGUAGCAUGGAUUGUAAACACUUCAACAAGUGGCGUUUGCUUCACUGCAAGACAUCAUUACUUUGGAUUUACACUUUACGUCAUUAUGAAUCGAUAUAUGCACGAGUGCACGUGUCUUUAAAAAUGUUAGAACCCAUGUAAAGAAAGCUGUGUUGGUGCUGAAUAGAAACAGCAAAGUACAAUGGUAACUCAACACGAGUUACUUGAAUAAACUACUAAUAUGAAGUUAAUAUUCCUCUAAUAUUCCAACAUUCAGGGUUAAAUGAACAAAGAAAGUACGUUCAUUGUAAAAACCAUGAAAUAGCAACGUACUCUUCACACAAAAAAUGUAUUUACUUUGAUGAUGUGUACGUUUUACUAUCACUAUGGUCACAGUAUAGUGUAAGUGGUACGUUCUAAAGGGUAAACGUUUGGUAGGCUAAUAGCUUCUAACUGAAGUUCCACAACCUUAUUUUGUAGGAUUUUGAAAGAAGUCGUUAUAAACAUAACAUCGUUUAAACAAGAUUACAAUUUCUUUAAUUUAUUCCAGAGAAAUGAUUCGAUAUUUAAAUAUUUUUCUGUGUAAAUUUAAUUUAUCUUUCUUUCUUUAUGCAUCAAGCAAUGUCUGUUAAAUUAAAUUUAUACAUUCAGAGUAACGUUCCUAUGAAACGCUUUUUAUUUUAAUUUAACGUGUAAAUAUUCUAUGUAAAGGUAAGAGAAAUAUUAAUUUACAAAAUACAAAUAAUCACCGACAGAUGGCAAUAGCGGAAAAUGUACAAAUUGCUUUUAACGUUAAUUUUGAUACCUUUUUAUCAAACUGUGAAUUACUAUUAAAGAAAAUUUAAAGCUUUUAUGAUUAUUAUUUUGUCUAGUCUCAUAUAUAUUGCAAUGGUUGGGGUUUCUGGCGUCGUGUUUUUAUUGUUUCUUGCACAGAUCUUCAUGUGGUGUACAUUGAUAAACAUUACUUUGCAAAGCAGCUACACGUACGUACGUAAUGAAAAAGGCUGUGGAGUUAACACAUGUCUAAUAAAAAAGAUUGAAAGAACUUUCAACGGUUAAACUAACGAACUACAAACAGUUGCGCUUGUUGCUUAUUUAAUGGACAUUUAAACGAUUAAAUUAAAACUACCAACAAUUCCGUUUGUUGCUUAAUUAGUUAAUAUUUCAACAAUUAAACUAGCUAGAACUACAAACAGUUGCGUUUGUUGCUUAAUUAAUUAAUAUUUCAACAAUUAAACUAGCUAUAACCACAAACAGUUGCGUUUGUUGCUUAAUUAAUUAAUAUUUCAACAAUUAAACUAGCUAGAACUACAAACACUUGCGUUUGUUGCCAAGUGUUUAUGUUCUAGUUUAUAAAUAUCGAACGAAAAGCCAACGCUUUUGUAUAUUGGUACAAUAUAGUUUCCUAUCGUUAAGCCAAUGCAUUGCACUUGGCGCGUAUCAUGUUAAUAUUUUAACGCUGUUGUACUUGGUGAUAGACAAAUAUUACAACAACCAGUUAGGCUUAGUGCGUAUAUUACCUUACAAUGGAUAAGAUUUCAAUAAUUAAGUAAUAAAGACUGAUACGCCUCAUUCUCAGGGCAUGAUAUAAAAAAAAUGAACUCAUUAAGUGUAAGGAUUUCUUUAGUGUGAUAUAUUAACACACUGCCAUCUUUCCUAAUGUGUUAUUAAUAUAUAUGAGAUCCGUUUUUUAUUAUUAGAAGGGUAAAAGAAAAAUAAGUUAAGAAAGUAGAUUAAUAUUUACCUAAGCUAAAAUAUUGUUAGCAUGAUUGAUAAUUCCGUUCAAGAUAGAAGAUAGGUAAGGGACGGACAAAAAGAAAUAUAAAUUAAUGAAAAAUUGUUAACAGUGUCAGAAAAGAGAGAGAGAGAAAAAAAAAGCUAUUAGAAAGAUAACAAUUUGUGUAUGUAUAAAAAUAUUUUCAUUUGAUAGAAGUUGUUUCUCUUAGUCGUUUUGUUAAUUGAUAAAUAAAUGUAUCUUUUGUGUUAUGUAAUAAAAAUGAAGACUGA